rnacentral:rRNA from 1 species
UACGUAGGGGGCAAGCGUUGUCCGGAAUCAUUGGGCGUAAAGCGCGUGUAGGCGGCCAGAUAAGUCCGCUGUGAAAUCUCGAGGCUCAACUUCGAGCUGUCGGUGGAAACUAUCUGGCUAGAGUCCGGAAGAGGAGAAUGGAAUUCCUGGUGUAGCGGUGAAAUGCGCAGAUAUCAGGAAGAACACCCGUGGCGAAGGCGGUUCUCUGGGACGGUACUGACGCUGAGACGCGAAAGCGUGGGGAGCGAACAGG